rnacentral:rRNA from 1 species
CUGGCUCAGGACGAACGCUGGCGGCGUGCCUAACACAUGCAAGUCGAACGGAGAAUCAGCAAUGAUUUUUAGUGGCGAACGGGUGAGUAACGCGUAGACAACCUGCCUUCUAGAUGGGGACAACACUGCGAAAGUGGUGCUAAUACCGAAUGUUGCAUUAAGCCUGCAUGGGCUUGAUACUAAAGGUGGCCUCUAUUUAUAAGCUACCACUAGAAGAUGGGUCUGCGUCUGAUUAGCUAGUUGGUGAGGUAAUGGCUCACCAAGGCGAUGAUCAGUAGCCGGUCUGAGAGGAUGAACGGCCACACUGGGACUGAGACACGGCCCAGACUCCUACGGGAGGCAGCAGUGGGGAAUCUUCCGCAAUGGACGAAAGUCUGACGGAGCAACGCCGCGUGAGUGAAGAAGGUUUUCGGAUCGUAAAGCUCUGUCUUUGAGGACGAAUGUGCUUAAUGUGAAUAAUGUUAAGUAAUGACGGUACUCAAGGAGGAAGCCACGGCUAACUACGUGCCAGCAGCCGCGGUAAUACGUAGGUGGCAAGCGUUGUCCGGAAUUAUUGGGCGUAAAGCGCGCGCAGGCGGGAUAUUAAGUCUGUCUUAAAAGUUCGGGGCUCAACCCCGUGAUGGGAUGGAAACUAAUAUUCUUGAGUGCAGGGGAGGAA